UUGCUCUAGGGUUUGACAUUGCUGACAGUGUAUCAGGAUUCUGCAUCUAAGGAAGAAAGAAAACCAAAGGUUACAAAGGAAAUAAAACCAAUGAAGAGUAUACUGCAGGUUUGGUUUAAAUGCACAGAGCAAAACUGAAGAAGCACAACACAAACAUAUUCAACAAGAAGCCCAACAAAACUUAUCUACGGAUGAAGUCAAGACCAGUCUCUUCCAGAGCAACAUGGACGUAACACCCAUAUCCCCUACCUGUACCUAUACUGGAGCUAGUUUAUACAGAUCAUCUGACAGCCUCGUUCCAACUCAGCAGAUGUCCCAAUUUUAAGGUCUCCAGACACCAUACUGUCAGUCACAAAAUGGUCCAUUUUGUCUCCUCCAAGAUAUAACUAUAUACUGUGUUUACUCCAUUUUGGAAUGCCAAGAUUUUUCUUCUAUUCAUCUCUACAGUACAGUGAAGCUGGGCAAGAAAGGUCACAUAUAUUAUAAUGAUUCCCCUACAAGACCAAUACAGAUCAAACUAGAGAUACACAAACAUAGAUGGAUUUCAAAAACAGACUAAAAGAAAAUGAGAUGCGUAAAAGAAAAUAAGACCCACCCCACCAAAAAAGCUAUAUACUGUAUCAAUUCCACUUGUAUGAAUUCCUAGAACAAGGAAAACUGAUUUGUAAUGGCUGUUCACAUGGCAGAACUGAAGAGCAAGCAACACAAAAACAAAUUUAUUGGGCUGACAAAAAUGUUUCAUGUCUUAAUUAGUGUGCCAGUAACCUGGGUAUAUAAAGUCAUGGAAAUGUCCAAAACUGGAUAUCAAAUUUGCAUCAUAUUUUAUAUAAAUUACAUCUCAAUCAAAAUAUUUCUAACAGAGUUAGUAAGGGCAGUUCUCUCUUCACCUUCCUCCCUUUUUCUUUGAUGGCUGCCUUAUUUUUCAAUUCUUUUGGUCACAUCCUCAGCCAUCAUUUUACAUGCCCUGGGGGUUACCUGAACAACCCAUACUCAAGCUCCCUCCAGUAGUUCUGGGUUCUCCAAUUAUGUUCUAUAAAUGCUAACUAGGUAUAAUCCAUUACUUUAAAAAUUUUACAUUAUUCCUUUGCUCAAAAUCUGUGAAUAAGUUCUCAACAUUUAAUGUAUAGAAUGUAUAACAUGGUGACUAUACUAAAUACCUGAAAAUUGCUAACAGACUACUGUCCUCACUCAAGAAAAUAAUAAAUAUAUGAAGUGACAUGCAUGUUAAUCAGCUUGAUUUAAUCAUUCUACAAUUUACACAUGUCAAAAUAUCAUGUUGUACGCUGUUAAGUAUAUAAUUUUAUCCUCCCUCUCAAAAUAAUAUCCCACAAAACUUGCAACAUCGAAAGUUACCUCACAAAAGGUAUAUAUUAUAUACUCACAGAAAAGCACAAA